UACGGAGGGAGCUAGCGUUGUUCGGAAUUACUGGGCGUAAAGCGCGCGUAGGCGGCUUUGUAAGUUAGAGGUGAAAGCCUGGAGCUCAACUUCAGAAUUGCCUUUAAGACUGCAUCGCUUGAAUCCGGGAGAGGUGAGUGGAAUUCCGAGUGUAGAGGUGAAAUUCGUAGAUAUUCGGAAGAACACCAGUGGCGAAGGCGGCUGACUGGGCCAUUACUGACGCUGAGGCGCGAAAGCGUGGGGAGCAAACAGG
rnacentral:rRNA from 1 species